CGCGUAGGUGGUUCUGUAUGUCUACCGCGAAAGCGUACGGCUCAACCGUAUUUUGUCGGUAGAAACUGCAGGACUUGAGGCUGGGAGGGGCUGGUGGAAUUCCCUGUGUAGCGGUGAAAUGCGUAGAGAUGGGGGAGAACACUCGUGGCGAAGGCGGCCAGCUAGACCAGUUCUGACACUGAGGCGCGACAGCGUGGGGAGCAAACA
rnacentral:rRNA from 1 species